AGAAUCAGCACAACGACUAAUAAAUGUAUUUGAACUUCUUAUUAUAAAUUAUUAAUCAUUAUCAGUAAGAUUAUUCUUAUCUUAACUCAGUGGAUAAGAGUUUCGGCGAAACAGAGCAGCUUUACAUAGAGGUAUUGUACAAAGAUGCCUGGGGAUACUGCAGACCACAAUCCACACACACACACACACACACAGAGAGGCAAACGUGCACUAGACCCGUACGGGAAGCCUUCUCCAGUCGUCAUGUACAGGAAUAUUCAUUUCAGAAUUAGCUGAUAAUCGAGAAAAGUGAACUUAUUGUGAAACAGUUUGUUCUUCACGUGCAAUAUGAGCCCUAAUAAACGUUUCAUACUCAAAGUCCAAUUUCAAUUACGAGGAAAUUAGCGACUGGAAAUGCAUUAUUGCAUCUUGCACUGUCUGGCAACCGUCUGGGUUGGAUACAGACAUGUGUAGAAGGGCGUUUCGCUUGGACACUGACGAAAGCGAAGUCUGUUUUGGUUCCUUGUUGGUGCGUUUCAAAGCAGUGUCACGCACAGGCCGUGUUAAGUGCAGUGAUCACGACAGUGCAUAUGUUAUUCAUUCACAGAAGAAGACUAAGAAACGACAAGUUGCAUAUCGCUGGAGAUUCAAAGACGACGGAUCGAAGCCUCUUGUCAGUUAACCCCUCUACAACAACAACAGCAACAACAAAAUGAUUGCUGAAAUCGUCGUUCUUUUGUUUACUCUGCCUGUAUUCGUCAUGCUAUUCCAAGUUGAGAGCAGGGCUCAAACCGGAAGGGGAUUCCCCGAUCCAGCUAGGCUUAUGUUCUGGGUUGUCGGUGUGUUCAUGUUUUGUAUGGAAGGAUAUAUAUAUUACAAGUGGGUAACCUGGGAUGGUUUGUGGGUAAGCAUCUGGGAUGGUUUCGCACAAUUCCCGCAGUUCUUUGUCAAUGUGUUUCACGGCGCGCAGCAGAUUGCAGGGGAUUGGGUCUCCAGUACGGUUGAACACUGCGGAGAAAAAGUAACGCAAUCCUUCGGAGCAUUAACUUAUGAAAAUGUUCUUUUGUUACUUGGACAGUAGAACAACAUUACUGCAAUCCGCAGCUGCUGAAUUCAACAGCAGGUUACAUACAGGAUUUGAUGACCCAUUGAUUUUCAGAAGUGAAAGCUACUCAGUGUAUUUAGUGUUGUAUAUUGUCGUUUGGAGUUCUAUGACGUAGACAAAUCUGCACAAAGAACGCGUAAAUAAUGUUUAUUAUUCUCUUCUGCGGAUGUUUUUAAAAUUACAGUAAUAUAGAGUUUUCAUAGCGAUGGAAUUGAGAGGGCGUGUGCGAGAAUCUGUAAACAGGCAAGUGACUGGUUAAUUGUAGAGGUCGGUCUAAGACAAAGGCCUGUCAUGACUCCAAGCCAGCUCCUGUAAGGAAGCAGCCUUAAUUUUAGCGAGUUUCUUUUCUUUUCUUGUUUUUCUCUCUGCAGAAAACCACGAAAACAUACUAAAUGUAUAUCAAUAUAUGUACUAUAUGUGUGAGUGAGUGUAUAUGUGUGCGUAUGUUUGUAUGUAUGUCAAAUGACGCUUCUGCCUUUAGAUAUGGUGGCUCUAGGGUCUAGAAUGAUGUUUAAGUAACUGAUCAUAAUACAUGGAAUGAGAUAGACUUAUGAAAAAUCACUGGCCGUCUUCCAAGGCCAGUCACUGGUGGAGUGUGAGGGUCUAAGGUGGCGGCGCCUAGCUGUGUGGGAAACGAGGGAGGCGGGGGGGGGGGGGGGGGGGGGGUGGGGGGGGGGGGGGGGGGGGGGCGUUGGUUUGUGGAGGUGAGGGUGAUUGGUCUGGAAAACUGUCAAAGUUAUUGUGACUGUAAUGAUAGAAAUCCCAUCUUAAUAUUGAUGAUGAUAUCCUUUGUAGCACACCCACAUAUAUUAUAGAUAUAAAUAUAUAUAUAUAUAUAUAUAUAU